rnacentral:rRNA from 1 species
UACGUAGGGACCAAGCGUUGUUCGGAUUUACUGGGCGUAAAGGGCGCGUAGGCGGCGUGGUAAGCCACUUGUGAAAUCUCUGAGCUUAACUCAGAACGGCCAAGUGAUACUGCUGUGCUAGAGUGCAGAAGGGGCAAUCGGAAUUCUUGGUGUAGCGGUGAAAUGCGUAGAUAUCAAGAGGAACACCUGAGGUGAAGACGGGUUGCUGGGCUGACACUGACGCUGAUGCGCGAAAGCCAGGGGAGCAAACGGG